rnacentral:rRNA from 2 species
CAAUUAUACAGCGAAACUGCGAAUGGCUCAUUAUAUAAGUUAUCGUUUAUUUGAUAGUACCUUACUACUUGGAUAACCGUGGUAAUUCUAGAGCUAAUACAUGCUAAAAAUCCCGACUUCGGAAGGGAUGUAUUUAUUAGAUUAAAAACCAAUGCCCUCCGGGGCUCACUGGUGAUUCAUGAUAACUUCUCGAAUCGCAUGGCCUUGCGCCGGCGAUGGUUCAUUCAAAUUUCUUCCCUAUCAACUUUCGAUGUUUGGGUAUUGGCCAAACAUGGUUGCAACGGGUAACGGAGGGUUAGGGCUCGACCCCGGAGAAGGAGCCUGAGAAACGGCUACUACAUCCAAGGAAGGCAGCAGGCGCGCAAAUUACCCAAUCCCGACUCGGGGAGGUAGUGACAAUAAAUACUGAUACAGGGCUCUUUUGGGUCUUGUAAUUGGAAUGAGUACAAUUUAAAUCCCUUAACGAGGAACAAUUGGAGGGCAAGUCUGGUGCCAGCAGCCGCGGUAAUUCCAGCUCCAAUAGCGUAUAUUAAAGUUGUU